AAUCAACGCUGGCGGCGUGCCUCAGACAUGCAAGUCGAACGCGAAAGGCCCCGUUCGGGGGCCGAGUAGAGUGGCGUCCGGGUGAGUAACACGUGGGUAAUCUACCUUCGGGUGGGAAUAACGACCGGAAACGGUCGCUAAUACCGCAUAAUGCAGCGGCACCUAAUGGUGACAGUUGUUAAAGCGGGGAUCGCAAGACCUCGCGCCUGAAGAGGAGCCCGCGCGGAUUAGCUAGNGGCAGGGUAACGGCCUACCAAGGCGACGAUCCGUAGCCGGCCUGAGAGGGCGGUCGGCCACACUGGCACUGACACACGGGCCAGACUCCUACGGGAGGCAGCAGUCGGGAAUUUUGGGCAA
rnacentral:rRNA from 1 species